UUGUACAUGGCAUAGUAGUUUGAGUGUUGGACUACAACUCUGGAGAUCAGGGUUCGAUUCCCUGCUCAAA